rnacentral:rRNA from 1 species
GACGAACGCUGGCGGCGUGCUUAACACAUGCAAGUCGAACGAAGUGGCGAACGGGUGAGUCACGCGUAAUCAACCUGCCCUUCAGAGGGGGACAACAGUUGGAAACGACUGCUAAUACCUCAUACUGUCGGAGGGGAUUGCGGCUGAUGAGCUAGGUGGAGGGGUAACGGCCCACCACGGCGAUGAUCAGGAGCCGGACUGAGGGGAUGACCGGGCACACUGGGACGUGGACACGGCCCAGACUCCUACGGGAGGCAGAAGUGGGGAAGAGUACGAAAUGGACGAAAGUCUGACGGAGCAACGCCGCGGUAGUGAUGACGGCCUUCGGUUUGUACAGCUUUGUUAAUCGGGACGCGGUACCGGAAGAGAAAGCCACGGCUAACUACGUGCCAGCAGCCGCGGUAAUUG